ACCGCCGGAGUCACUGACACGAGCAGGAAAAGGAAGAGGAAGAGGAAGCGGAGGAGGAAGCGGAACUGCACCUGCUGCAUGCCGGGGAAUGUAUUUCUCCGACGCUUCCCGCCACACCUGGAAACUGUGAGCGAAGUUUGACAUUUUGUCUGCGUCGUUUGAAAACUUCCUGAGGAUCCAUAACGUGACGGGUUAAUAUCAGAGAGAGAACAAGGAGCCUGGACUGAGACUAAACCACGGAUUCUUCUUCAUCAACCACAACAACACACUGUGUUUCCUCAUCACGUCUUCAUGCGAACAUUGUCCAGAGCAGACAGGAGAAGCUGUCAUGAUGUAUCUUGAGAGACAGAUUACGACGAGCACUGCUUCUGACAUGCGACAUGAUACGAUUGACAUGUGUCUGAUCUGAUAACAUGGAGGAGACCUAUACUGCAACCAGCCACCAGGGGGCAAAUGGCUUCAUGCUGUCCAUCUUCAUAUAUGGUGUGAAUAACCGGGACCGGAAGGGAGCACUAUACGUGUUUUAUAAUUAAAUCUCAU